ACGGAAGGCAGCAGUGGGGGAUAUUGCACAAUGGGGGAAACCCUGAUGCAGCGACGCCGCGUGAGUGAAGAAGUAUUUCGGUAUGUAAAGCUCUAUCAGCAGGGAAGAAAAUGACGGUACCUGACUAAGAAGCUCCGGCUAAAUACGUGCCAGCAGCCGCGGUAAUACGUAUGGAGCAAGCGUUAUCCGGAUUUACUGGGUGUAAAGGGAGCGUAGACGGCGUGGCAAGUCUGAUGUGAAAGCUAUGGGCUCAACCCAUAAACUGCAUUGGAAACUGUCAUGCUAGAGUGUCGGAGAGGUAAGCGGAAUUCCUAGUGUAGCGGUGAAAUGCGUAGAUAUUAGGAGGAACAUCAGUGGCGAAGGCGGCUUACUGGGCUUUAACUGACGCUGAGGCUCGAAAGCGUGGGGAGCAAACAGGAUUAGAUACCCUGGUA
rnacentral:rRNA from 1 species